UACGUAGGGUGCGAGCGUUGUCCGGAAUUAUUGGGCGUAAAGGGCUCGUAGGCGGUCUGUCGCGUCGGUAGUGAAAACUCAGGGCUUAACCCUGAGCCUGCUUCCGAUACGGGCAGACUAGAGGUAUGCAGGGGAGAAUGGAAUUCCUGGUGUAGCGGUGAAAUGCGCAGAUAUCAGGAGGAACACCAGUGGCGAAGGCGGUUCUCUGGGCAUUACCUAACGCUGAGGAGCGAAAGUGUGGGGAGCAAACAGG
rnacentral:rRNA from 1 species